AACGAACGCUGGCGGCAUGCCUAACACAUGCAAGUCGAACGAGACCUUCGGGUCUAGUGGAGAACGGGUGCGUAACGCGUGGGAACCUGCCCUUAGGUUCGGAAUAACUCCCCGAAAGGGGUGGUAAUACCGGAUAAUGUCUUCGGACCAAAGAUUUAUCGCCUUUGGAUGGGCCCGCGUUGGAUUAGCUAGUUGGUAGGGUAAAAGCCUACCAAGGCGACGAUCCAUAGCUGGUCUGAGAGGAUGAUCAGCCACACUGGGACUGAGACACGGCCCAGACUCCUACGGGAGGCAGCGGUGGGGAAUAUUGGACAAUGGGCGAAAGCCUGAGCCAGCAAUGCCGCGUGAGUGAUGAAGGCCUUAGGGUGGUAAAGCUCUUUUACCCGGGAUGAUAAUGACAGUACCGGGAGAAUAAGCUCCGGCUAACUCCGUG
rnacentral:rRNA from 1 species